CCGGUGUAUGUAAAAGGAAUAAAUACCUUUCUGUUGUGCUUUCUGCAGAAUGCCUAUAGAAAGGUCUUGGGAAGAAAGAAAAAAAACCCCAAAUUCCUGGAUUCGAAAGAACUCCUAUAUUUUACUGAGAAGGGAACUUCUUUUCAAGAAUUAACCCUUUCUUAUGUGAAGCUAAUUUUUAUAGUCAUCGUGAAGUUCUGCUGUAUGAAAUGGAGCUCUUGCCCGGUGUGAGCUGGAGAACUGGUAUGAUGACUACAAAAGGAGACACCAAAGUAUUGCUUAUUUUGGUCUGAAUUGCAUCCAUAGAGUGGAUGAUCACAUGCACUCGGUCACCGCGGGACUCGCUAUUUCUGCUAAAAUCCCUCCGGGCAGAGUGUGUCAGGGAGCAGUGAAGGCAGGUGGCUCCAUGAGGGAGGACUGUGAGAAAUAUGCAGAAGAGAAAAACAGCUGUUUUGCUAAGGUGGAAAAUCACUGAAUUGAGACUUAGAGGACGAAAAGAAGUAUGCCACAAAAACUUCAUUCUGAACAUUUGCAAAUCGUUUGUACUCAAAUGCAAAAUGGAUGAUUACAGUUCUCCAUUUCAAUGUAUUUAUUGGAAAAAUUAUUCUGUAAAAACUCAAAAAGUGUUCACAUACCAUAGCCGUAUGGAUGAAAAAUCAAAAAACGUUAUGUGUAACAUUCAGUUCUAUUAAAAGUGUGAUAUUAAGGAAAGGUUUUUAUUAUAGCUGCUCUGGAAUUUUCUGUUGAAUUAAUUUUCUCAAGAAAAACAUCAUUUUCACAUUAUUAUCAUUUUCCAGAAGAGAUCUUAAUUUCUCUUAGGCGUCUUCAUUUCCCAUUGCAAAUAAGAAAGUGAAAUAUUUAUCUUCUGAUAACAUCAACCUGUACCAUGUUUUUUAAAAAAAAUCCUCAGUAUUUAUUCAAAUCAAUUUCACAAACAUAAAACUGCAUUUCCUCAUGGUUCAUUGUCUUAUGGAAAUGUUUUUCUGAUUUUCCUUCUUCAUAUAGGCAGAUCAUUGUCCCCCAGAAAGGUUUUCCCUGAUAUUUCUAAUUAAGGUUAUUUCAGGGGGGUUUUCCCACAUUUUUACUGAACUUAGUGCUAAAUCCUCAUGUAUUAUGGCAACCUGCAAGCUUGUCAUUUUCCAGCGGUUCCUAUUCCUAGAUGCUAUGCCCACAUAAUUCCUCCUGCAUGUUCUACACUGAUAAGCACUUUCUCACCAUGUGAUGGAGGUCAGCUGAGCAAUGUACAGAAGGUAAAGAAGAGAAUCAUGUGCUUGGAGGACCGAAAGAAGGAAAAUAAAACACCUUUAUAUUUAUCUGCUAUGAC